rnacentral:lncRNA from 13 species
GAAGAACCUGAAUCCCAGGAUAUCCUGGCCAUUUCAAUAGAAACCAAGUUAGACUCUGAAACAGAGGACACCCCUAUUGUCGUUUUGCCUGAGAUGGAGCCUGCCCAAGACGAGAUGUUAGCAGAGAAGGAGAGCCAGAUCCAUCUCGAACAAAACAAUGAGGCUUCUCCACAGGAGGAACCCAAGGACCCUGGUGAUCCAGAAAAAUUGGCAGAGGCCAGCAAACAGACCAGGCCUCAGAAAAUGAGCCGAAUCCCGGUUCUCUCCCGGUCUGAGGAGGACACCAGCUCGGACCAGGACCAGUCGGCGGCGUCCCAGUCAUUCAAGUCUCGUCAGAGGGCCAAGCGACCUCACCUAGCCCGGCUGGUCAUGGAAAGGAGGCAAGGUCGCAUGCUAAGACUGGCUUCUGUUUCCUCUGCGUCCUCUGCGGAUGAUGGCUGUAAAGUUCCAGCAGAGAUCCAGUCAGAGGAAGACACCCAUGAUGAGGACAACUAUCUGCCCAGGAAGGAGAGGGGAAUUUGGGGGGAGAGGAGUGAGGGGCGUCAAAGGAGCAGAAUACCCCGUCCUGUCACGCCUGUUAAGCUACAGGGAUCCUCUGUUACACCAUUUCAUGCUGUCUCCCAAACUGGCCCCAGCGCUAAUCUCCACAAACCCCAACUUUCAACUAUAUAUGCUAGGCAUCAAUCUCACAAAACUAGGACCCCAAGAAUAAAUGUUCCACUGCACCAGAGGUCCCAGACUCUGCAGUCCCGACCCGGACCCGGGGCCAACUCCUCCUUCUUAUUCUCCACCCCCCAGACCCCCCUGCGUGGGGUCAUCUCCCGAACCCCUCUCUCUGCAUGCCCCUCCCCCCGUAGCCUCAGCACCUCCCCCUGUUGCUACUCCACUUCCCGGACCGACAGCCCCUCCCCUCAGCGCCCACGCCGGGGGGCUGCAGUUACAGAAGUCCGGAGGCAGCUCAUAUCCGUGCGGGCGCAGACUGCACUUCCGCUAAAACCCAGACCGCCUCAAACCGAUGAUUCCUCAGCCCCUGGGAUGCCCAGGAGGCGAGGCAAACUUUACCCGUUGUCAUCUACAUCCACACCCACCAAGGGGAAGUCAGAUGCUUCUGAGAGCAAGACAACCACCAGAUAAUAUAGCCUAGCUUAGUGUAUCAGGGCUAUCUAUCCACCAGAACAUCCACACUGCACUUCACACACCCCUUUAUCUACUGUAUGUCAGAGUAACUCCACGACCUCAAACGUGUUUGUGCAAAAACACUAUGUUUCAACUCUCAGCUUAAGAUAACAAAGAGGGGUCUGCUUCUAAUCACAGUUAAGGCCAAGAACAAAACCAGUAAUAGAGAGCACCAGGCAGCGGUGAGACCCCCAAUGCCACAGACUAGGGAAGUGGGUGUGACCCCCAAUGCCACAGACUAGGGAGGUGGGUGAGACUCCCAAUGCCACAGACUAGGGAAGUGGGUGUGACCAUGGGUGUGACCCCCCAAUGCCACAGACUAGGGAAGUGGGUGAGACCCCCAAU